ACUUGCUUGACUUUGCAGAGAGUAAAGAUGUUUACAAGAGGAAAGUCCUAUCCAUCACCUCCAUCACCAUGACGAUCAGCCUGCUGGGGAUAAUCUGCAUGGCCUUGUAUUACCGCAACAAGCAAGACCGAGAGAAGCUCCAGGCCCACUUGAAGGAAAACCGCUCUGUGAAGAACUACAACUCUCAUAAUUCACUGAGGAACGAGAGCCGGAUGCCCAACAGCAAUUUGCAGAUGCAUCAGUAUUGUAAGAGGCAAUUCCAGUAUCGUGAGACCCCGUCCAGUCACUGCACUUCCUGUCACUCGCCCUGCAACACAUCCUGCUUCAGCAGUGGGACAGCCAAGCAGCUUAGAAAGGGCUGCUCAUCCCAAAGUUCAAGUCAUAAGGCUCAACACUGGUCAAUGUUAUGCACUUCUCCAUCCACACCUAAAAGAAGACUUAAUCAGAUGGGAGGAUCAAAGUCAGGUCCUGCCUACCAUCACCUCCAGGAAGUGGAUUCAUCAAAAAAGGACACAGAAGCAAAACAAAGGUUCCAGACCAAGAGGGAGUGCCACUUUAGCGAUCUUCGACAGGACACUCUCCUCCACAUAAGGCCCUCUGUUCAGAUGGAAUCAACGCUCGGUUUACAUCCACAGAGAAACACCAACAACUGCAGCUUUCGCCAAACCAUUCAGGAUCAACACACAUUUUUAUCGUCCUCAAUUCCCAUCAUCCCGUCUGUGCUUUGUCAUUACGACGACGAAGUGUCCUGUAUGCAAACGAUGCCAACUACAUCCAAUAUCAUGAACAUGAGAGCAAAGUCUGUGUCUAAACCCUGCUCACCUGUGCUGGGGGAACAACAGGUGGAAGCAACAUUACUAUUGGAAGAGGCCCAGGAGCACCUCAGGGCGCUGGCUCACUGUAAACAUGGGGAGAGUGCUGCCAUUUCGGUGCCCAGAGAGACUGUGUGCUUCCUCAGUCCAACCGCGUGUCCGCUCACACAUGUCCAGAUACUUAGCCAAUCAAACAGAGACCUGGCUACCAGCAACCAAUGAGAGUCAAGGACAUACUAUUUCAGUUGGGACAUUCGUAAUGACGGGUGCAACAUGACG
rnacentral:lncRNA from 1 species